ACGGGAGGCAGCAGUGGGGAAUAUUGGGCAAUGGGCGAAAGCCUGACCCAGCGACGCCGCGUGAAGGAAGAAGGCCCUCGGGUUGUAAACUUCAGUCAACAGGGAAGAAACAAAUGACGGUACCUGUGGAGGAAGCCACGGCUAACUACGUGCCAGCAGCCGCGGUAAUACGUAGGUGGCGAGCGUUAUCCGGAUUUACUGGGUGUAAAGGGUGUGUAGGCGGGUCUGCAAGUCAGAUGUGAAAUCCCGGGGCUCAACCCCGGAACUGCAUUUGAAACUGUAGCCCUUGAGUAUCGGAGAGGCAAGCGGAAUUCCUAGUGUAGCGGUGAAAUGCGUAGAUAUUAGGAGGAACACCAGUGGCGAAGGCGGCUUGCUGGACGACAACUGACGCUGAGGCGCGAAAGCGUGGGGAGCAAACAGGAUUAGAUACCCUGGUA
rnacentral:rRNA from 1 species